GACAGGGUCUUAGUCUGUCACCCAGGCUGGAAUGCACUGCCAUAAGGCUCACUGCAGCCUUGACCUCCUGGGCUCAAACUGUCCUCCUGCCUCAGCCUCCAUAUAGCUAGGAUCACAGGUGUGCACCACCAUGCCCGGCUGAGUUUCUGCUUUUCUGUAGAAAUGGCGGGGGGGUCUCAUUUUGUUGCCCAGGCUGGUCUUGAACUCCUGAGCUCAAGCAAUCCUCCCACCUCAGCCUCCCAAAGUGCCUAAGCCACAGCAACUGGCCUUAUCAUAAUAAUAAUUUAAAAAUAAUUGUUGAAGGCCGGGCGUGGUGGCUCACACCUGUAAUCCCAGCACUUUGGGAGGCUGAGGUGGGAAGACCACGUGGUCAGCAGUUUGAAACCAGCCUGGCCAACAUGGUGAAACCCCGUCUCUACUAAAAAUACAAAAAUUAGCCAAGUGUUGUGGUGUGUACCUGUAAUCCCAGCUACUCGGGAGGCUGAGGCAGGAGAAUUGCUUGAACCCGGGAGAUGGAGGUUGCAAUGAGCCAAAACUGUGCCAUUGCACUCCAGCCUGGGUGACAGAUUGAGACUCCAUCUCAAAAAAACAAAACAAAAACCAAAAAAACAAAAAAAUAAAACAAAAACAUUUGCUAAAAACUACCUAGGCCAUCAAGAUCCAAGUUGCAAAGAAAAGAAAACAUACUGGGCUUCCCUUAAUGGGUUAUCAAAGCAGCACACAGUUAGUCCUGAGCUGAAGGUGACCCUAAAUUGACUUUGGCCCAAUCCCACGUGAAAUUCUAGUCUCAGACCAUCGUGUUGCACAAUUCUAGGGAGCUCUAUUCAUUAUGUAGAGGAGGUGAAUUUUACUUCCCUCAAUUGGUCAGUGCAUAAUGUACAUGGUGACCCAACUUUACAAAGAAUUGGUGAUUUUCAGAAAUAGCAUUUCCCCUUAGGACAAAAUAGAAGCAUCAGUUUCUCUUUAAAACUUUGAGACCUUUGGAUGAUCUUCAGUGGAUGCACAGUGAAAAAAGAAAGAGCCAGCUCUGGGGGCUAUAGAAGUCAGUUGAGAAAGAAGCAUUUGGCCAGAAGACAGCCAAAGAAAAACAAAUGGCCAGGCUCCCGCCACGUGGCCCCUCUCCUAGGACACUGGUUUCCCAUGGGCUAUUUAUGGUUAGAACCAGAUGCUGUCAAUGAGGGGUAUGCAGUGACCACUGCUAUCCCCCCACCAUCUAUUCCCGCGGUGUACAAUUUUAAUUUAUAAUUGUGGGUGAGUCAUAUAUAUGCUCGGAAGGGGGCAGGGAAGGGCCACGGAUUUAGAUAAAUAGGCUGCAAAAGAUACAGUGAAAAACGCCAGACCAAAAUUGAAGAGACUGGACUUGAUCGGUUCAACUACAUGGGUGUGCCCUUCCUGCCUCCCCCAACCUAGUAUUGUUACAUCUCUCUUGAGAAUGAGGGCCCGGGAGCUGCUGUUACUAUCAGGUGGAUGUGAGACAGCUCUCACAUAUUUCGGAACACAAAAGGAGCAUCUCAGAAUUGGUAAUGCUUCAAGUCUCUUCUAAAACUGAACAUCUUGGCUUGGCAUGGUGGCUCAUGCCUGUAAUCCCAGCAUUUUGGGAGGCUGAGGCGGAAGGAUCACUUGAGGCCAGGACUUCGACACCAGCCUGGACAAUAUAAGGAAACUCUUGUCUCUAAAAAUAAGACAAAAAUCACCUGGACAUGGUAGUCUCAGCUACUCAGGAGGCUGAGACAGGAGGAUCGUUUGAACACAGCAGUUGAAGCUACAGUGAAGUAUGAUUGCAUCACUGUGCUGCAGCCUG
ensembl:lncRNA